GACCGUAUGGUCCGCCCGUCGGAUUCAGUCCGCCUGUGCGGCGUCGGCGCCGGCCGCGCAUCCCUCGUGGGAGCGCGCCGGCGUCCGGUCGUCGUGCGGCGGCCGUACUUUCGGCGGGCGGAGCGCCACGACCGGUUCGUCGGCGGCGAGAAACUCCCGGGCAAGGUGACCUUCGUCUCGGCGCAGGAGCAUACAGGCCCGGCGAGCGUCGGCCCGUCGGCGGACCGAGGAAGACCGUCGCGGAGCGGCGUCGACCGCCCGUCGUGUGGUCGCGUUCGACUCGGGGGGACUGGUUCCAGUGCCCUCGGACCGCGCGGCCGCAGCGGCGGGACGGCCCGGCGUCGCGCCUGGGGUCGGUGGCGAAACGGCCGGCAACCUGUCCGACCCGUCUUGAAACACGGACCAAGGAGUCUAACAUGUGCGCGAGUCGUUGGGCGCUACGAAACCCGAAGGCGCAAUGAAAGUGAAGGCCCGGUCUCCGGCCGGCCUGGGUGGGAUCCGGGCGGCCUCGGCCGUCCGGCGCACCACCGGCCCGUCUCGUUCGCCGCGUCGAAGAGGCGGAGCAAGAGCGUACACGUUGGGACCCGAAAGAUGGUGAACUAUGCCCGAGUAGGACGAAGCCAGAGGAAACUCUGGUGGAGGUCCGCAG
rnacentral:rRNA from 1 species